GCCUUCGUGGUGUAACGGUAACACACUCGGCCCGAAUUCGAGAGGUCCAGAUUCGAAUCCCGGUGAGGUCA
rnacentral:tRNA from 1 species